rnacentral:rRNA from 1 species
GAUGAACGCUGGCGGCGUGCCUAAUACAUGCAAGUCGAGCGGAAGGACGAGAAGCUUGCGUCGCUGAUGUUAGCGGAGGACGGGAGAGAAACACGUGGAUAACCUACCUAUAAGACUGGGAUAACUUCGGGAAACCGGAGCUAAUACCGGAGAAGAUUCUGAAGCGCAGGGUGGAAAAGAGAAAGACGGUGUUGCGGUCACUUAUAGAGGGAUCUGCGCUGCAUUAGCUAGUUGGGAAGGUAACGGCCUACGAAGGGAACGAUGCAUAGCCGAGCUGAGAGACGGGUCGGCCACCCGGGAGCGGAGACGCGCUCCAGACUCCUGCGGGAGGCCCCAGUCUGGUAUCUUCCGCAGUGGUGGAAAGCCUGGCGGAGCGACGCCGCGUGAGUGGUGGCGGUCCUCCGUUCGUGAAACUCUGUUUUUAGGUAUGAACAUAUGUGUAAGUAGCUGUGCACAUCUUGACGGUACCUAGUCAGAAAGCCCCGGCUAACUACGUG